rnacentral:rRNA from 1 species
GAUGAACGCUGGCGGCGUGCCUAAUACAUGCAAGUCGAGCGAACAGACGAGGAGCUUGCUCCUCUGACGUUAGCGGCGGACGGGUGAGUAACACGUGGAUAACCUACCUAUAAGACUGGGAUAACUUCGGGAAACCGGAGCUAAUACCGGAUAAUAUAUUGAACCGCAUGGUUCAAUAGUGAAAGACGGUUUUGCUGUCACUUAUAGAUGGAUCCGCGCCGCAUUAGCUAGUUGGUAAGGUAACGGCUUACCAAGGCAACGAUGCGUAGCCGACCUGAGAGGGUGAUCGGCCACACUGGAACUGAGACACGGUCCAGACUCCUACGGGAGGCAGCAGUAGGGAAUCUUCCGCAAUGGGCGAAAGCCUGACGGAGCAACGCCGCGUGAGUGAUGAAGGUCUUCGGAUCGUAAAACUCUGUUAUUAGGGAAGAACAAAUGUGUAAGUAACUAUGCACGUCUUGACGGUACCUCAUCAGAAAGCCACGGCUAACUACGUG